rnacentral:rRNA from 1 species
UCCGCCAGGGUACUACGAGCGCUAGCUUAAAACCCAAAGGACUUGACGGUGUCUCAACCCCGCCUAGAGGAGCCUGUUCUAGAACCGAUAACCCUCGUUUAACCUCACCAUCCCUUGUCUCUACCGCCUAUAUACCGCCGUCGAAAGCUUACCCUGUGAAGGCCCUACAGUAAGCAAAAUGGGUAUAACCCAGAACGUCAGGUCGAGGUGUAGCUUAUGAGAUGGGAAGAAAUGGGCUACAUUUUCUGUAACAGAACAUUACGAAUUUUACCAUGAAAUUGGUAUUUGAAGGUGGAUUUAGUAGUAAAAC